AGCAUAUCAAUAAGCGGGAGGAAAAGAAACCAACAGGGAUUGCCCUAGUAACGGCGAGUGAAGCGGCAACAGCUCAAAUUUGAAAUCUGGCCUCGGCCCGAGUUGUAAUUUGCAGAGGAUGAUUUUGGCGCGGUGCCUUCCGAGUUCCCUGGAACGGGACGCCACAGAGGGUGAGAGCCCCGUAUGGUCGGACACCAAGCCUUUGUAAAUCUCCUUCGACGAGUCGAGUAGUUUGGGAAUGCUGCUCAAAAUGGGAGGUAAAUCUCUUCUAAAGCUAAAUAUUGGCCAGAGACCGAUAGCGCACAAGUAGAGUGAUCGAAAGAUGAAAAGCACCUUGAAAAGGGGGUUAAACAGUACGUGAAAUUGUUGAAAGGGAAGGGCUCGUGACCAGACUUGUGCCAGGCGGCUCAUCCGGCGUUCUCGCCGGUGCACUCCGCCUGGCUCAGGCCAGCAUCGGUUCUUGCCGGGGGAUAAGAGCUUCGGGAACGUGGCCCCCUUCGGGGGGUGUUAUAGCCCGUUGCACGAUGCCCUGGCGGGGACCGAGGUUCGCGCUCCGCAAGGAUGCUGGCGUAAUGGUCACCAACCACCCGUCUUGAAACACGGACCAAGGAGUCGUCCAUCAGAGCGAGCGUUUGGGUGUAAAACCCGCACGCGUAAUGAAAGUGAACGCAGGUGAGAGCUUCGGCGCAUCAUCGACCGAUCCUGAUGUAUUCGGAUGGAUUUGAGUAAGAGUUUUGCUGGACGGACCCGAAAGACAGUGAACUAUGCUUGUAUAGGGUGAAGCCAGAGGAAACUCUGGUGGAGGCUCGCAGCGGUUCUGACGUGCAAAUCGAUCGUCAAAUAUGAGCAUGGGGGCGAAAGACUAAUUCGAACUGUCUAGUAGCUGGUUACCGCCGAAGUUCCCCUUCAGAA
rnacentral:rRNA from 1 species